AUUAAAGUUGGGGCGACGGACGGUGCAGAUACCCAAUUCUCGUGUUCGAGCUCCGAUCCCGAUCGUCUCCUCCGACGCCUCCUCUCCAGCGUCCGAUCUCCUCUCUUCCCUCCCCCCACAACCCAUCGCCGCCGCCGCCUCCUCCUCCUCUACUACCCCCGCGCGCACCUCAAUUACAAAACCUCCCUCUCUUUCCCAGGAUCACGCCCAUGGCGGAGGUGCCGGCAAGCCCCCCCGGAGGUGCCGGUGGCGGCGGCGGUAGUCACGAGAGCGGCGGCGACCAGAGCCCGCGAUCCAGCUUCCGGGAGCAGGACCGCUUUCUCCCAAUCGCCAACAUCAGCCGGAUCAUGAAAAAGGCGCUACCUGCCAACGCCAAGAUCGCCAAGGACGCCAAAGAGACCAUCCAGGAAUGCGUCUCCGAGUUCAUCAGCUUCAUCACCAGCGAGGCCAGUGAUAAAUGCCAGCGGGAGAAAAGGAAGACCAUUAAUGGCGACGAUCUGCUUUGGGCGAUGGCCACGCUGGGAUUCGAGGAUUAUAUUGAACCGCUGAAAUUGUAUCUGCAGAAAUACAGAGAGAUGGAGGGUGACAGUAAGGUGUCUGCUAAAGGUGAUAACUCUCUAAAGCAAGACAUAACUAGUUCUCAUGGUGGAGCUCAAUCUGGUUCAAUCUCUCAAGGGUAGAUUGGUCAACAAGGAUCUUUUACACAAGGCAUGGGCUAUUUGCAACCUCAGUAACUAAGAUCAGAACCGUGUAAUAUCUUGAAGUGGGACUUAUAGGAGGAAAAGCUUCGUCGCCCUAUGUGUUAUCGCUAAGCUUCCAAUUAUUUGGUGUUUUAGAUUAUAAAGUAGCCCCAGUUGUAACAAUUUACGCAGUGUGUACCAAAUUCAUCUUUGUUAUCCUUACUGGAUUUUUAGUUGGCAACAGAUAGAUUUCGAUAAGCCCAUUUUAUCCACGGUGACACUGAAUUACCAUUGGAACUAUCAUAUAAGUGGGCUGACUUGUCACCUCUUCGUUCGUAGUGCAAUUACAGCUUGAAUUCCAGUUUGAUUGUGC